GAUGAACGCUGGCGGCGUGCCUAAUACAUGCAAGUCGAGCGAACGGACGAGAAGCUUGCUUUUCUGAUGUUAGCGGCGGACGGGUGAGUAACACGUGGAUAACCUACCUAUAAGACUGGGAUAACUUCGGGAAACCGGAGCUAAUACCGGAUAAUAUUUUGAACCGCAUGGUUCAAAAGUGAAAGACGGCCUUGCUGUCACUUAUAGAUGGAUCCGCGCUGCAUUAGCUAGUUGGUAAGGUAACGGCUUACCAAGGCAACGAUGCAUAGCCGACCUGAGAGGGUGAUCGGCCACACUGGAACUGAGACACGGUCCAGACUCCUACGGGAGGCAGCAGUAGGGAAUCUUCCGCAAUGGGCGAAAGCCUGACGGAGCAACGCCGCGUGAGUGAUGAAGGUCUUCGGAUCGUAAAACUCUGUUAUUAGGGAAGAACAGAUGUGUAAGUAACUGUGCACAUCUUGACGGUACCUAAUCAGAAAGCCACGGCUAACUACGUG
rnacentral:rRNA from 1 species